UUAGACCGAUAGCGAACAAGUACCGUGAGGGAAAGAUGAAAAGCACUUUGGAAAGAGAGUUAAACAGUACGUGAAAUUGCUGAAAGGGAAACGCUUGAAGUCAGUCGCGUUAGCUAGAACUCAACCAGGCUUGCUUGGCGUAUUUUCUAGUUAACGGGCCAGCAUCAGUUUUGACCGCAGGAAAAGGGCCAGGGAAAUGUGGCAUCUUCGGAUGUGUUAUAGUCUCUGGUCGUAUACUGUGAUUGGGACUGAGGACCGCAGCACGCGCAAGCUGUGCUUAGGAUGCUGGCGUAAUGGCUUUAAACGACCCGUCUUGAAACACGGACCAAGA
rnacentral:rRNA from 1 species